rnacentral:rRNA from 1 species
GACGAACGCUGGCGGCGUGCUUAACACAUGCAAGUCGAACGAAGAGCGACGGAAGCUUGCUUCUCUCAAUCUUAGUGGCGAACGGGUGAGUAACGCGUAAUCAACCUGCCCUUCAGAGGGGGACAACAGUUGGAAACGACUGCUAAUACCGCAUACGAUCUAAUCUCGGCAUCGAGGAUGGAUGAAAGGUGGCCUCUACAUGUAAGCUAUCACUGAAGGAGGGGAUUGCGUCUGAUUAGCUAGUUGGAGGGGUAACGGCCCACCAAGGCGAUGAUCAGUAGCCGGUCUGAGAGGAUGAACGGCCACAUUGGGACUGAGACACGGCCCAGACUCCUACGGGAGGCAGCAGUGGGGAAUCUUCCGCAAUGGACGAAAGUCUGACGGAGCAACGCCGCGUGAGUGAUGACGGCCUUCGGGUUGUAAAGCUCUGUUAAUCGGGACGAAAGGCCUUCUUGCGAAUAGUGAGAAGGAUUGACGGUACCGGAAUAGAAAGCCACGGCUAACUACGUG